AGGUCGAAACGAGACGUUUCGUAACGCAACGGGGCAAAGGUUCCGACCCGACGGAAGACGCGACGCCGAAGCGAGAGAACUUUGAGACCGCACGAGAGGGCGAGGGCGGUGGUGGAUACGCGAUGCAGCAGCUCCAGCACCACCAGAGAUCCACCGGUGGGCCGAAUGCGGCCGGGCCGGCUCCGGGGCCGCCGAGGAGGCGGUGCGAGGGCACGGCCAUGGGCGCCAUAACUCUCGACCUCCGCCCCGGCUUCGGCAUCGGCCCCUUCAACCUUGGUAUGCCAUUACAUGAAGCAUUUGCUCAAGUUGAGCAUCAACCCAACAUAUAUGAUGUGGUCCAUGUGAAGUAUCUUGAUGAGGAGCCUCUAAAGUUGGACAUUGUUAUUAGUUUUCCGGAUCAUGGUUUUCAUCUGCGUUUUGAUCCUUGGUCACAGAGGUUGCGUCUCAUUGAGGUUUAUGAUGUCAAACGGUUACAGAUGCGUUAUGCAAAUUCUCUAAUUGGUGGUCCUUCAACAUUAGCCACCUUUGUAGCAGUCUAUGCACUUUUUGGACCCACGUAUCCUGGAACUUAUGACCAAGAUAGAGGAAUUUAUACAUUAUUUUAUCCGGGGUUGUCUUUUGCUUUUCCCAUUCCAAGCCAAUAUACAUAUUGCUGCCAAAAUGGAGAAGUCUCAGCAGAGUUGCCUCUUGAGUUCCCCGAUGGAACAACUCCAGUUGCAUGCCGUGUCUCUGUGUAUGAUGGUUCUUCAGAUAGUAAAGUUGGUGUGGGAUCACUUCUUGACAAAGCUUCAGUUCCUCCGCUGCCUGCUGGCAGUCUAUACAUGGAAGAGGUGCAUGCUAAGCUAGGAGAAGAAUUAUGGUUCACUGUUGGAGGUCAGCACAUUCCUUUUGGUGCAUCACCUCAGGAUGUUUGGACGGAGUUAGGUCGUCCUUGUGGAAUCCACCAAAAGCAGGUUGAUCAAAUGGUUAUCCACUCUGCUUCAGAUCCCCGUCCUCGGACAACUAUUUGUGGAGAUUACUUUUAUAAUUAUUUCUCUCGUGGUCUGGACAUUUUAUUUGAUGGACAGACACAUAAAAUCAAGAAGUUUGUGUUACACACAAAUUUUCCAGGGCAUUCAGACUUCAAUACAUAUAUGAAAUGCAACUUUGUUAUCUAUGACUCUGAUGAUAAAGGAACAAUUCAACCUGGUAAUACUUCUAAAAAUUGCAUCACGCCAAACACAAAAUGGGAACAAGUAAAGGAGAUUCUUGGGGAUGGUGGUCGUGCUGCAAUUCAAACACAAGGUUCAAUGACCAAUCCAUUUGGAUCAACUUUUGUCUAUGGAUACCAAAAUGUGGCAUUCGAGGUUAUGAAGAAUGGUUAUAUAGCUACUGUUACUCUGUUCCAAUCUUAAGCUUCCUAGAUGUUCUACACUGCAUUCAAGUUAUUUUUUCGGAAGUACUUCCAGUCUUUAACACAGAUGGUCAUGUGUUUCUUAUUUCUAAUUUACUGUCUUGUCCAAUGAAGACGAAAUGACUUGUUUGACUUCCAGUUUCAACAUGGGUCCAAUGAUUCCAAAAGAACCACUUUGUGGCCAAGGCGAAUUUGAGAGGAUUACGCUGGGUUUUCACAUGAACUUGAUGGGAAGCUAGCAUGCUCCUCCAUAAUUCGUGCUGUGGAUUCAGUCUUGUAUGGGUGUGUAAUUCUCUGUACAGUGCAAUUAAUUUCUUUUUCAUGACUUGUAUCAUUCUGUAAAUUAAAUAUUCCUUUUUGGAAAAGUUUAUUUGCCCAA